rnacentral:rRNA from 1 species
AACGAACGCUGGCGGCAGGCCUAACACAUGCAAGUCGAGCGAAGCCUUCGGGCUUAGCGGCGGACGGGUGAGUAACGCGUGGGAACGUGCCCUUUGGUACGGAAUAGCCCCGGGAAACUGGGAGUAAUACCGUAUGUGGUCGAGAGACGAAAGAUUUAUCGCCAAAGGAUCGGCCCGCGUUGGAUUAGGUAGUUGGUGGGGUAAUGGCCUACCAAGCCGACGAUCCAUAGCUGGUCUGAGAGGACGACCAGCCACACUGGGACUGAGACACGGCCCAGACUCCUACGGGAGGCAGCAGUGGGGAAUUUUGGACAAUGGGCGGAAGCCUGAUCCAGCCAUGCCGCGUGAGCGAUGAAGGCCUUAGGGUUGUAAAGCUCUUUUACCCGGGACGAUAAUGACUGUACCGGGAGAAUAAGCCCCGGCUAACUUCGUGCCAGCAGCCGCCGUAAGAC